CAACACUUCACCUUCUUUCUUUGCCAGUUUGCUGGGGGAAAACCUGCCGGUAGCAUAUCUUAACCAUAGUCACCCUCUCCCAUCAAACUCUCCCAAAUUCUCCUUCCACAUCCAGAGCUCUCUCCCCAGGUUGGAAGUCCUUCCCCAGAGACCUGAAGAGAUGGAGGAAGGAGAAUUGAUUUGGGGUGCCAAGUUUGCCUGACUUUCUGGAGCACAUGAUUAACCAGGACCCCAAGUUCUUUGUCAACUCCUGAAGACCGGGGAGAAGAAUUUAUGCCUCUCAAUUUCUAGAUGGUUGCAAAGAACAGAACUGUCCAG